AGGAUGAACGCUGGCGGCGUGCCUAACACAUGCAAGUCGAACGUCCUGUCUCGCAAGAGGCAGGGAGUGGCGGACGGGUGAGUACCACGUGGGUUAUCUACCGUGAGGUGAGGAAUACCGGCGAGAAAUCGCCGACAAGACCGCAUAGCCUCGGUGCAAGCCGAGCAAAGCUCUUUCGAGAGAGGGAGCGCCACACGAGGAGCCUGCGCCCGAUUAGCUAGCUGGUGGAGUAACGGUUCACCAGGGCGACGAUCGGUAGCUGGUCUGAGAGGACGAUCAGCCACACUGGGAUUGAGAACGGCCCAGACUCCUACGGGGGGCAGCAGUGAGGAAUUUUCGUCAAUGGGGGCAACCCUGAACGAGCAACGCCGCGUGCAGGAAGAAGGUUUUCGGAUCGUAAAACUGCUUUUCUCGGGGAAGAGAACGGGCGGUACCCGAGGAAUCAGCCCCGGCUAACUACGUGCCAGCAGCCGCGGU
rnacentral:rRNA from 1 species